rnacentral:rRNA from 1 species
AUUGAACGCUGGCGGCAGGCCUAACACAUGCAAGUCGAACGAGUGGCGGACGGGUGAGUAAUGUCUGGGAAACUGUCUGAUGGAGGGGGAACACCACUGGAAAAGGUAGCUAAUACCGCAUAACAUCCGAUGUGCCCAUAUGGGUUUCGCGAGUGGGUGGGGUAACGGCACACCAAGGCGAAGCUCCCUCGCUGGUCUGAGAGGCAGACCCGCCAAACUGGAACGUAGACACGGGCCAGACUCCGACGGGAGGGAGCAGUGGGGAAUAUUGCGCAAUGGGGGCAAGCCUGAUGCAGCCAUGCCGCGUGUAUGAAGAAGGCUUUCGGGUUGUAAAGUACUUUCAGCGGGGAGGCGGUACCCGCAGAAGAGGCACCGGCUAACACCGUGCGAGCAGCCGCGGGAAAAAC